rnacentral:rRNA from 1 species
UACGUAGGGGGCAAGCGUGUCCGGAUUUAUUGGGCGUAAAGAGCGUGUAGGCGGCUUUACAGGUCCGUUGUGAAAACUCGAGGCUCAACCUCGAGACGCCGGUGGAAACCGUAAGGCUAGAGUCCGGAAGAGGAGAGUGGAAUUCCUGGUGUAGCGGUGAAAUGCGCAGAUAUCAGGAGGAACACCCUGGCGAAAAGCGGCUCUCUGGGGACGGGUACUGACGCUGAAGACGCGAAAACGUGGGGGGAGCAAAACAGGGAUUAGAAAACCCCCCAGUAGCCAGACC